UGGGGAAUAUUGCACAAUGGGCGCAAGCCUGAUGCAGCCAUGCCGCGUGUGUGAAGAAGGCCUUCGGGUUGUAAAGCACUUUCAGCGGGGAGGAAGGCGAUAAGGUUAAUAACCUUGUCGAUUGACGUUACCCGCAGAAGAAGCACCGGCUAACUCCGUGCCAGCAGCCGCGGUAAUACGGAGGGUGCAAGCGUUAAUCGGAAUUACUGGGCGUAAAGCGCACGCAGGCGGUCUGUCAAGUCGGAUGUGAAAUCCCCGGGCUCAACCUGGGAGCUGCAUUUGAAGCUGGCAGGCUAGAGUCGUGUAGAGGGGGGUAGAAUUCCAGGUGUAGCGGUGAAAUGCGUAGAGAUCUGGAGGAAUACCGGUGGCGAAGGCGGCCCCCUGGACGAAGACUGACGCUCAGGUGCGAAAGCGUGGGGAGCAAACAGG
rnacentral:rRNA from 1 species